UGUUUUUGUUCAAUAAACACCCAGUCUGGGAAUCGAAACUGAUCCUACAGCUGCAUGUCUGCUGCCCUAACCACUGGGACAUUGUUCCUCCAUGUGUGUGUGUAUAUGUGUAUGUAUAAAUAACUGGUCAGAUUGGCUGACAGUACUGCAGAGGGCCACCACAAUUAGUGGUGGCCCCAGUUAGGUUCCCUUGAGAAUUGGUGUCUCUUCAAAGAGCACCAUUUCCUAUAACUGUCUGACUCCUUCCCUUCAGGAAAACAUGCAGCCACUCUCCUACUUUCCCAGUAAUACAAAGGUUUCGCAGCUUGUGACAUAUGCCUUGAUCAACCUUGUCGAAAGCAUUGGCAAAGUUGAGGUAUAUCAUGUCUAUAGCUGACUGGUUUAGCUGUUGCUUCAAUACCCAGCUAAAGUGCUGCAGCAACUGUGAGGCAGCUUCUCCCUGGACGAGUGCCAUGUUUCUAGUAGAAACAUGAUCAGCCUUUUUCUGACUGUUUUAUGUGAGGUUAGGGAGAUGGGCCUGUAGGUUUUAGCAUCUUGUUUGCUCCUUCCUUUAUGGUUAGGGCAUAUACCUUUUUUAGGAGGUUGGGAAGUUUACCACGUGCUUGGCUUGUCUAUUUUCAUAUUUUCCAGUGGAGAAGUAAAAACUUCAGAAUUGUUUUAGUGCUUCACCAGGUCUGCAGUUAGCAGCUUUUCUUUACCAAAUAGUGGCCCUAUCUUACAGCAGACUCCUUUGCCAACAUGUAGGAGGCUUUAGGAUUAAAAAAAAUUUUUUAACUGCCCAGGUUUCUCUUCUCUACAGGUGAUUUUGAGUUUAUUUUUCCAUCUCGAAGAGUUCCUCUGUCAUGUAGGAUUUUACACUGUCAUUAAGGUAGAUUUUUAGGCCAGUCUUGCUGGAGUAUGUUUUUCAAGUGACUUCCAUUCGGCAUUACAGAAGUUAAGGCUAGAUAGGGUUUGAGAGCCAUCUAUGUGGAGUCUUUAGUUAAUUCUGGGCCAUACAUUGUCACUUCCAUCAUGAUAUGGUCUGAGAAUGCUGUUGGUGAUAUAUUUGCAUUCUGGAUAAUUUCUGAAUAGUUUGUAAAACAGAGGUCAAGGAUAUUUAUGUUCCUGGUUGGAGACUACGAUCUAUUCCAUGAAUAGAAUUUUUGUAUAUGUUUUCCUUUUUUUUUUUUUUUUUUUUUUGGUAGUUUCAGCUCAGAGCUGCUUCUAUGCUGGAGCACUGCCGUUUUGCUACACAGUUAUUGAGAGCGUCCUCCAAUAUAUGGCAUUUGGUGAAUAAGAGUUUGAUGUCGCUACUGGGAUUUGCACCUCUUCUUGGGAGGUAGGUUCAUCUGGGACUCUCGACAGGAAGAGGUGCAGUUUUGAUUUGAAAACCCCUACAUCCACUGCCUUGGGAGAAUGUUUGUGUGUGCGGGGGCCUCGAGCCAUUUUAAGAUCCACAAAGAGCAAAACUUAUCUGCUGCUCUUGGUGGUCCAAAUAAUAGGUGCAAUCUAUGUGCGUGUCUUUCCAGAGCAUUGUCUGGUUU